rnacentral:lncRNA from 1 species
CUCUGCUCUUGCACGCUUAGUUGAUUCCUCUUUGAAAUCAUCUUUUAAUUUCUCCAUGUCAGUCUUCAUUUUCUCAUUCACUGCCAUCAAAUCUUCAUGCUGACCCUUAGUAUGAACUAGGUCCCACUCUGUGUUUCCAUGUUUUGAGUCAAGUUCUUGGAUCUCUGCAUCCUUCUGCUCCAUCGAAGUGUGAUGCAUCUCAACCAACUCAUUCAGUGCCUCAACAUUAUCAUGUAACUCUAUGUUACGG